GACGAACGCUGGCGGCGUGCUUAACACAUGCAAGUCGAACGGUGAAGCGCCUUCCUUUUUGGUGGGUGUGGAUGAGUGGCGAACGGGUGAGUAACACGUGAGUAACCUGCCCCCUUCUUCUGGACAACCGCAUGAAAGUGUGGCUAAUACGGGAUAUUCUGAGUCUGUCGCAUGAUGGGUCUGGGAAAGAUAUUGUUUCGGUGGGGGAUGGGCUCGCGGCCUAUCAGCUUGUUGGUGGGGUGAUGGCCUACCAAGGCGGUGACGGGUAGCCGGCCUGAGAGAUUGGCCAGUCUGGCAGGGACAGAGGGACGGGCCGCACACGGGCGGGAGGCAGCGGGGAGGAAUAUUGAAGAGUGGGCGCAAGACUGAGGAAGGGACGCCGCGUGAGGAAGGGAGGCGUUCGGGAUAUGAACCUUUUUCGGCAGGGAAACAGGCGUGCCUCGUUUGUGGGUGGGUUGACGGUACCUGGAUAAGAGGCACCGGCUAACUACGU
rnacentral:rRNA from 1 species